rnacentral:rRNA from 1 species
AUGAUCGAGCAGUUCGUCAAUUUCGUCAUCCGGCCGCCUCGGUCAGAGUAUAACCCAGAUCAGUACUUAUGGGAGAGAGAGUUUAUGCUCGCAGGGCGAAGGUAUAAACGACUAGACUUGGAGCUCACAAAUCCAAGGGGCCAUACCCUGAAAUGCAGCCACUAUCUUCCUGCUUCCAUUCCAGAAAAUAUUGCCCUCCCGUGUGUGAUCUACUGCCAUGGAAAUAGCGGAUGCAGAGCAGACGCAAAUGAAGCCGCUGUAGUACUUCUUCCUUCAAACAUCACAGUUUUCACACCAGACUUUUCCGGUUCAGGUCUAUCGGACGGAGAUUAUGUCAGCCUUGGUUGGCAUGAGAAAGAGGACCUCAAAUGCGCAGUAUCAUUCCUGCGCACCAACAAGCAAGUUUCCCGUAUAGGCCUUUGGGGGCGAUCGAUGGGUGCUGUUACAAGCCUACUAUAUGGAGCAGAAGAUCCCUCAAUUGCUGGCAUGGUAUUGGAUAGUGCUUUCACCAACUUGUAUGGCUUGAUGUUGGAACUUGUGGAUGUUUACAAAAUUCGAGUUCCUAAAUUCACGGUUAAGAUGGCUGUACAGUACAUGCGACGAACCAUUCAGAAAAGAGCGAAGUUUGACAUAAUGGACCUUAAUGUUGUAAAGCUUGCUCCUAAGACAUUUAUUCCUGCAUUAUUUGGACAUGGUCUGAGUGACAUGUUUAUUCAGCCUCACCACUGUGACCGUAUUCACGAAGCAUAUGGGGGGGAUAAAAGUAUGGUAAAAUUUGAGGGUGACCAUAAUUCCCCAAGACCUCAAUCAUACUAUGAUUCGGUUUCGAUAUUUUUCUACAAUACUCUGCGUCCUCCCCAGUUGCCUGCAUCAGGCUCAAAUAAGCUACAUGUAAAAAUUGGUACCAUGACCAAUGAGAGUUUGUUCUUUGAGAUCAUCAAUGGUCUGAGGGCAGCUAAAACCGAUGCAGGCAGUUCAUCAACAAAUGCACAUGGCUUUCGAAAUUCUACAACUUCGGUAGUCGAAUUACUAUCGGAGAGCGCAAAUCAGUUGUCCAUUAAGAAUGACAAUGACUUGGAUUUCCUCUUAGAUGAGAAUCAUAACCUAUCUGGUGCAGAUGGUGAUAGUGUUGGACUGCAUUUGCAGGAUAAAACCAGUAGGCACAGCGAGGAGUCCUGCUCAUACACAAGCUCAAACAGAGAAAGUUGGGGCAGAUGUUCAUCGUUAGGUGCGGCGAGUGAUGGAUCAUUCUCACGCGGCCUUGGUGAUAAGCACGAGAGCAUGACGGUAAAUGCUCUGGCCACGCCGCGGAGACACGAACAGAGGAAACUGGCCAAAUCGUCGCCCCCGAAAACGAAGGAGAGGAAGUUCCAUGCCCUGUGGAAGAAGCUCAAGCGCGAGAGGGAGGAGAUGGGGGACAGCCUCUCCCAGCGCCUGAGGAUGUGCCUCGGGCAGUCUCCUCGUCACAGGCGAACCCAAUCGUCAUCUGGACAGCAACUAUAG